rnacentral:rRNA from 1 species
GUGGGGAAUCUUCCGCAAUGGACGAAAGUCUGACGGAGCAACGCCGCGUGAGUGAUGACGGCCUUCGGGUUGUAAAGCUCUGUUAAUCGGGACGAAAGGCCUUCUUGCGAAUAGUGAGAAGGAUUGACGGUACCGGAAUAGAAAGCCACGGCUAACUACGUGCCAGCAGCCGCGGUAAUACGUAGGUGGCAAGCGUUGUCCGGAAUUAUUGGGCGUAAAGCGCGCGCAGGCGGAUAGGUCAGUCUGUCUUAAAAGUUCGGGGCUUAACCCCGUGAUGGGAUGGAAACUGCCAAUCUAGAGUAUCGGAGAGGAAAGUGGAAUUCCUAGUGUAGCGGUGAAAUGCGUAGAUAUUAGGAAGAACACCAGUGGCGAAGGCGACUUUCUGGACGAAAACUGACGCUGAGGCGCGAAAGCCAGGGGAGCGAACGGGA